UGGGAGAACCGGUUGAGGAUCGCCGUGGAAACGGCAGGAGCACUUGCGUACUUGCACUCGGCGUCGGCGAAACCUAUCAUUCACAGGGACGUCAAGUCAGCGAACAUACUUUUGGACGAGGAUUACACGGCAAAGGUGUCGGACUUUGGAGCGUCAAGGUUGAUCCCCUACGACCAGACUCAUCUGACGACGUUGGUGCAGGGGACCCUCGGGUACCUCGACCCGGAGUACUUCCGGACGAGCAUAUUGACGGAGAAGAGCGAUGUGUACAGCUUUGGUGUGGUUCUGAUGGAGCUGUUGAUGCGAGAGAAGCCCAUAUCAC
rnacentral:lncRNA from 1 species